rnacentral:rRNA from 1 species
CCUUCGGGUUGUAAAGCCCUUUUGUUGGGAAAGAAAUCCAGCUGGCUAAUACCCGGUUGGGAUGACGGUACCCAAAGAAUAAGCACCGGCUAACUUCGUGCCAGCAGCCGCGGUAAUACGAAGGGUGCAAGCGUUACUCGGAAUUACUGGGCGUAAAGCGUGCGUAGGUGGUCGUUUAAGUCCGUUGUGAAAGCCCUGGGCUCAACCUGGGAACUGCAGUGGAUACUGGGCGACUAGAGUGUGGUAGAGGGUAGCGGAAUUCCUGGUGUAGCAGUGAAAUGCGUAGAGAUCAGGAGGAACAUCCAUGGCGAAGGCAGCUACCUGGACCAACACUGACACUGAGGCACGAAAGCGUGGGGAGCAAACAGGAUUAGAUACCCUGGUAGUCCACGCCCUAAACGAUGCGAACUGGAUGUUGGGUGCAAUUUGGCACGCAGUAUCGAAGCUAACGCGUUAAGUUCGCCGCCUGGGGAGUACGGUCGCAAGACUGAAACUCAAAGGAAUUGACGGA